GAUGAACGCUGGCGGCGUGCCUAAUACAUGCAAGUCGAGCGAACAGACGAGGAGCUUGCUCCUCUGACGUUAGCGGCGGACGGGUGAGUAACACGUGGAUAACCUACCUAUAAGACUGGGAUAACUUCGGGAAACCGGAGCUAAUACCGGAUAAUAUAUUGAACCGCAUGGUUCAAUAGUGAAAGACGGUUUUGCUGUCACUUAUAGAUGGAUCCGCGCCGCAUUAGCUAGUUGGUAAGGUAACGGCCUACCAAGGCAACGAUGCGUAGCCGACCUGAGAGGGUGAUCGGCCACACGGGAACUGAGACACGGUCCAGACUCCUACGGGAGGCAGCAGUAGGGAAUCUUCCGCAAUGGGCGAAAGCCUGACGGAGCAACGCCGCGUGAGUGAUGAAGGUCUUCGGAUCGUAAAACUCUGUUAUUAGGGAAGAACAAAUGUGUAAGUAACUAUGCACGUCUUGACGGUACCUAAUCAGAAAGCCACGGCUAACUACGUG
rnacentral:rRNA from 1 species